UACGUCCCUGCCCUUUGUACACAC
rnacentral:ncRNA from 5 species